rnacentral:rRNA from 1 species
UACGGAAGGUGCAAGCGUUGCUCGGAAUUACUGGGCGUAAAGCGUGCGCAGGCGGUUCGUUAUGUCCGAUGUGAAAGCCCCGAGCUCAACUUGGGAAUGGCAUUGGAAACUGGCGGGCUGGAGUGUGGCAGAGGGGGGUGGAAUUCCACGUGUAGCAGUGAAAUGCGUAGAGAUGUGGAGGAACACCGAUGGCGAAGGCAGCCCCCUGGGCCAACACUGACGCUCAGGCACGAAAGCGUGGGGAGCAAACAGG